CAGUCGCCGCGGUAAUACGAAGGGGGCUAGCGUUGUUCGGAUUUACUGGGCGUAAAGCGCACGUAGGCGGACUUUUAAGUCAGGGGUGAAAUCCCGGGGCUCAACCCCGGAAUUGCCUUUGAUACUGGGAGUCUUGAGUUCGAGAGAGGUGAGUGGAAUUGCGAGUGUAGAGGUGAAAUUCGUAGAUAUUCGCAGGAACACCAGUGGCGAAGGCGGCUCACUGGCUCGAUACUGACGCUGAGGUGCGAAAGCGUGGGGAGCAAACAGGAUUAGAUACCCCAGUAGUCCCUGUCUCUUAUAC
rnacentral:rRNA from 1 species